rnacentral:lncRNA from 1 species
UGUCACUCCCUGCCUGAAUCACAAGACAUUAAUAUAUUUCCCAGAAUCCUCUUUGAUUCCUAAUUCCGCCUAACUUGCUCCCUUAUUGGCCAACAAUGAUUUAUUCAACAACCAAUAAGAAAAACAUACACAGAAGGACAUCCACCAUCUGUGGAGUCUCUGAGUUUGUCCCCAUAUUUCUCCUUGCUUUUCUUUUUAUGCUGUAAUUAGCCUCUUAUAUAGCAAUAUCACUACCUGAUUACUUGCAUUUAUGAGGAACUGGUACCUAUCAUUAGAAUUCACAUAUUAAAGACCAGACAUAUUUCAUUACCAUCCAAUCCUAGGACAUGAUGGAUACACAGUAACAGUAAGAUUUUUGAGUUGACUUUCCUACAAUUAUUGGCAAAUUCCUUACCUGUGACAAACAGUAAGUCAAAUGGACAUUGCUAUUAUACCUCUUGAAUUCCUUUCAGUUAUGUUUGUGUUCAUAAUUAUUACAUUAUAAAUCAUGGAAUAUAUUUUCUGAGGCUUGUCAUUAAAGGUAUGCACCAGCAAUGACUGAUCUCUAUAGCUUGAGGUGUAUCUUGCAUUCUCAAUACUCAGGGAAACUUUAAUAAAUCAAAAAUAAUAUCACUACAAGGGAAUGUCUAAUUACCCCAUGGUUUUAUCUGGAAGCCAUUAGGUUAUUGAAGUGGCUUAUAAUCAGCAAAUGAAAGAAGCAAUGCAGAUUUCCUCCUGUAUGCCAGCUCUAUGAAGUGAAGCAUAGAAUUCCAAGCAACUGUCUGAUAUCUGAAUGAGUUGAGAUGCUUCAGAGCCAUACACAGUCUGGUGGGAGGAGAAAUGAGUCAGCAGCCCUGAUGGAGGUCUCCAAGGCAACUACAUGAUUUGCCUCCAUUGCUGGAAAUGAGAACACUCCCCUUAUUGGCUCCUGGUCUUUUGCUAAAUUUGAAUACACACAGUCCUUCAAUCAGGAGCAAGGAGUGUUAAUAAAAGCUUCACCAGUGCAGGAACUUACCAGUCAGGCUCUGGCUAUAUUCCAGGACUCAGCAGAUCCUGGAUAUAGUCAGAGGCUGACUGUACAAAGACACAGACAAGGCAGACUGCUCCUGACAUCUUCAGGAGAUACAGCCUGUGGGAAUCAGCAAAUGCUGGGAUUGUUUCAUUCCUAGCACAGGCGAGCUUGCGCUGAAAAUAUCUAUUUACAAUGUAAGCAUUUCAUUUCAGGCAUUUAUGUACAUAUAUUGGAGAAAAGCUAAAACUGAAGCACUUAGCAUUGCUCUUAGGGAAACUGACAGGGCAUAUCAGAAAAUGGC